UACAGAGGUCUCAAGCGUUGUUCGGAUUCAUUGGGCGUAAAGGGUGCGUAGGCGGCGCGGUAAGUCGGGUGUGAAAUCUCGGGGCUUAACUCCGAAACUGCAUUCGAUACUGCCGUGCUUGAGGACUGGAGAGGAGAGUGGAAUUCCUGGUGUAGCGGUGAAAUGCGCAGAUAUCAGGAAGAACACCCGUGGCGAAGGCGGCUCUCUGGAACGCAACUGACGCUGAGACGCGAAAGCGUGGGGAGCAAACAGG
rnacentral:rRNA from 1 species